rnacentral:lncRNA from 1 species
UUCAUGAUUUGGUGGGUAUGAGCCUUUAAAAUGCAGGAAAUAAUUAUUCAAGUUCUUUAGUACUAAAAUUGUUAGUUUGCUACUUUUAUAGAAUAAAAACCAGUUGGAUUAGUGAUACACAAUAUGUCUCCUGGUUCUAUAGUCAUAAUUAGCAAUGUUGAAAAGAACUGCACGGUUUGCUAUUUAACUGAUAGAGAAGUAUAGUGGCAAAUCCAUUUAAACUGAGGUGAAGGAUUUGGGUAAAGAGUAGAAGCCAAAGAGGCUGAGGGGAAACUACAUGGACCUAAGCUUUCCCUUCAAGUUGAAAAGUCCACUUUUCAGCACUUGGUCGAAAUGGAGUCCUUGCUUUGAAUUUAAACAGAGUAAAUCUUAAGUUUUUUUUAAACCAUAACUUUCCUUUUACACUAGACCCAGUUAUCAAUAGGUAUAGUGUUUACCCUUCUAGACCAAAACUAUGUACUUUGCUUUUUUGCACUUCCUGGAAAA